AUUGAACGCUGGCGGCAGGCCUAACACAUGCAAGUCGAGCGGAUGAAGGGAGCUUGCUCCUGGAUUCAGCGGCGGACGGGUGAGUAAUGCCUAGGAAUCUGCCUGGUAGUGGGGGAUAACGUCCGGAAACGGGCGCUAAUACCGCAUACGUCCUGAGGGAGAAAGUGGGGGAUCUUCGGACCUCACGCUAUCAGAUGAGCCUAGGUCGGAUUAGCUAGUUGGUGGGGUAAAGGCCUACCAAGGCGACGAUCCGUAACUGGUCUGAGAGGAUGAUCAGUCACGGUGAAACGAAGACGCGGCCAAGACGACGAGGGGGGGCAGAAGGGGGAAAUGUAGAAAAAGGGGAAAGGGCAUGAACGAGCCAAGCGGGGUGUGUGAAAAGGGUCUUGGGAUUGUAAAGCACUUUAAGGGGGGAGGAAGGGAAAAAAUUUAAAACCUUGUUGUUUGGACGUAACAAAAAAAAAAAGCACCGGAAAACUUCGGA
rnacentral:rRNA from 1 species